CCGAUUAUAAUAGUGAUCAGAGGAAGUAUGUGUGAAUAAAUAGUACUUCCUCCGUUCCUUUUUAAGUGUCUUUUUAGGGUGAAAUUUUCGUUUCUAUUUAACUGUCGUUUUGGUAUUUAAAGGGUAUGAUUUUUCAAUCAUACCCUUUGUCAAUUAUUCUUAUAAUUUUCAAUAAAACUAAUUAAUGUUAUAUAUUUGAAAAC
rnacentral:lncRNA from 1 species